UACGUAGGGUGCAAGCGUUAAUCGGAAUUACUGGGCGUAAAGCGUGCGCAGGCGGUUAUGCAAGACAGAUGUGAAAUCCCCGGGCUCAACCUGGGAAUUGCAUUUGUGACUGCACGGCUAGAGUGUGUCAGAGGGGGUAGAAUUCCACGUGUAGCAGUGAAAUGCGUAGAGAUGUGGAGGAAUACCGAUGGCGAAGGCAGCCCCCUGGGAUAACGACUGACGCUCAUGCACGAAAGCGUGGGGAGCAAACAGG
rnacentral:rRNA from 1 species